rnacentral:rRNA from 1 species
UGCCAGCCGCCGCGGUAAUACGGGGGGUGCAAGCGUUAUUCGGAUUUACUGGGCGUAAAGCGCGCGUAGGCGGCCGUUUAAGUCAGAUGUGAAAGCCCGGGGCUCAACCCCGGAAGUGCAUUUGAUACUAUUCGGCUUGAGUAUGGGAGAGGGAAGUGGAAUUCCUGGUGUAGAGGUGAAAUUCGUAGAUAUCAGGAGGAACACCGGUGGCGAAGGCGACUUCCUGGACCAAUACUGACGCUGAGGCGCGAAGGCGUGGGGAGCAAACAGGAUUAGAUA